CCGAGUUAGGGUUCUCUGAAAACGAGGCCCGACCUCCCAACCCUGUGUUUAUACCGACCACUGUUGCUUCGGCGGACCGCCUCUCCUCCCUUCACGGGGUGGGUUUGUGGGCGCCGGGGGCGAGAGAUCGCCCCUGGAGCGUGUCCGUCGACGGCCAUCAAACAAACUCUUUAUUGAAAACCACCUUCUGAAAACCUUUUUAGUUAUUGAAUUAACAAAAACA
rnacentral:misc_RNA from 1 species